CGGACGGGUGAGUAACGCGUGGAUAACCUGCCUCACACUGGGGGAUAACAGUUAGAAAUGGCUGCUAAUACCGCAUAAGCGCACAGUACCGCAUGGUACGGUGUGAAAAACCCAGGUGGUGUGAGAUGGACCCGCGUCUGAUUAGGUAGUUGGUGGGGUAACGGCCUACCAAGCCGACGAUCAGUAGCCGACCUGAGAGGGUGACCGGCCACAUUGGGACUGAGACAUGGCCCAA
rnacentral:rRNA from 1 species